rnacentral:piRNA from 1 species
UAACUUCAAAUCCUACGAGACUGACAAGAUU